rnacentral:lncRNA from 1 species
AUGCAGCUAAAUCAGUGCUCUUCUGCUGGGACCUCUAUUCCUUUGAAGAGGAUUUUCCCUUCAGGAGGUGGUGAUGAGGGGCCACCAACACUAUGGCACUAUCCCAUGGGAGGCGUAAGGGCAGGAGUGGCUCUGGGCAAGGAUUUGGGAAAAGACAGGUCUGAUCUCCACAGCUAUUCCGGGACAGAGGAAGAUGAGGAAGACAUUGCAGAGGAACCCAAGCCACAAAGUAAUAAAGAAGGAAGGAAAGGAGAGGGACCCAACAGGUUAAACAACAAGUUGAGUUCCAUGAAGGGCAGGGGUAGUAAGAACAAGGAUGAGGAAAGUAGGACAAGGGAAAACAGACUGGGAAUGCAGGGACGUGAUACCCUGCAAAGGAUGACAGAGGAAAACAAAUGUGGGCUGGCUUGCUUUUCCCCUUCUGGACACAAUUAGUCCCAAAACAGAAGCUCUGGGGAGGGUGCCAGUGUUUGGAUCAGAGCUGGAAGACUCCCAUUUUAGGAAGAAAAAGCUUUUAAAGCAGGGCACUUUAUCGCCUUCCCAUGGUGAGGCCCAGAAAAGGGACAAGUGUGAUCGCCCCACAUUCAUCUGAGCUUUUGUGGUCUUGCAGUAGAAAACAGGAAGGCCUCCAGUGUGCUGAGAAAGAGGAAGAGGCUCUUUAUCCCUACACCCUUGGGAAGAGGGUACUGGGGACACAGGAGAUGUGGUGUGGGUGUGGAUGUUCAUGGACUCAUAUCAGCAUCCAUUGUAAAUGGAUCCAUUGUAAAUGGAUGCUUCAUGGCAAGCAGGAUUGUCAUGGGAAGUUCUGGGUGAGGCUUGUGAUAGGUGGUGCCACCUGAAAUGUCACAUUGCAGCACAUGUCCCAUGCUCUGCAGGGUAUCCCGAGCAGGGCAGACUGGGAUUGCAGCAUGUGCCCUAACACAAGAAAUAAUCGAUCACUUCACUGUAGUAUUUCAGUGCUUUGUGGUGGGCCCUGUUCAGCUAUUUGAGCUUAAUGGGGAUGCCAGGGAGAAUAUCCACUGCAACCAUAGAAUCAUAGGAUCGUUUGGUUGGAAAGGAUGUAUAAGAUCAUCAAGUCCAACUCUUUCUCCAGCUAUGUUAAGGCCACCACUAUGUCCCUAAGUAUCACAUCUACAUAUCUUUCAAGUAUGUCAUGCGAUGAUGACUCACACACUUCCCAUCUUUCUGAUUCCUUCUUCUUCAAAUGUGUCAAAAAGCCCCCAGACUUCCCUGGCAGAGAUGUGAGUUUCUCUAAGUGUUCUUCUAAGCAGCCAAUGCUGGCAGGAUAUAAAGGUCUUAGUUCAUGAAACUGUCCUUCUUCAUGAUUCUUGUCAAUAGUGUCAGAGAUCAGAUUAAUUUGGGUAUGGAGGUCUGGGUCUGAGUUCUAGCACAAGCGAUUUUGCUUUUCCUUCAUGGCUCUAUGCACAGGACUGAGGUUCUUCUUUCCAGCUGCUAUGCAACAAGAAAGAGCCUUUCAGAUGAAAUGAAGCCGAGUUUACAUGCAGGAGAAAGUCCUUGUUCACCUCACAGCAAUCUCAGGGAAAGCUCAGAGGAGCUUCUGUCAUCCCAAUGAGAAGGUAAUGGAAUAAUAAAAUACUCUGAGUUGGAAGUGACCCACAAGGAUCAUUGAACCCAACUCCUGGCCCUGCACAGGACCAUCCCCAAGAGCCACACACCACAGCCAAGAACUCUGAUCCAAACAUAUCUCCUCCAAGCACAUCACCUAUGAUCUCAGUAGGAAAAGCCAAAGAGCAAGGAUUAGUCUGAACUCCGGUCCCAAAAGAAGCAUUCUUGGGGAUGUCUUGAAGGCCUUGCAGGCGACCCCUUAGCUUCUUUUUGAUCCCUCAGUAGACCUUUAGUAAGACCUUCCUGACAUGACCUUAAAGCAAACAAACAAAUUUCCCUCUAUGGGAUUCAAGUACCCAGGAGCAAAAUAGUGGUGAAGGUUUUGUUUAGAGUAGUUUUACUUCCAUCUCCUCCAAAAGAGGACUCUAAAACACGCCUAGAAGUGCUUGUUUGUCUCUACAGAUGGAGAAAAAUGGAAAUUGCUGCAGAUCAGUUAAACAGAUUCCCCCAAGAGAUGUGCCUAGGGGAAGUCCACAUGGGAGUAGGGCCAUGGCAUGAAAGCCUUGGGCCGGAGCCCAGCUGUUGGCUCAUCUGUCCUUUGAUCCCACAGUCAGCAUCUCUCCAGAGAAGGAUCCUUAUAAAUUCAUUCCUGAAGUUCAUUAGACAGGAGCUUAGGCCAAAGCCCAGUAUCCCACCCCUUGAUGUUUUGGGUAGCUUGGAGACUACCCAAAUCCUGUCUUCCCAGGGAAGGCCUCUUUUGACUGAUUGUAUUUAGAGCUGGAAAUGCCACCCUGCCCACGUUGCUUGGAAAACACGGUGCGCUCAAGACGCCGGUUCAGACGGACUUCUCUGCACAGCUGCCCGUUUGCAGAGCAUGUGGUGGGAAUCUGUUGAUAGGUUCUUGACAGAAAUUAUGGCUUGUUUAUCUGGUAGCUUUACUUUUUGCCUCCUACCCAACCCGGAAACCCUUCCUCUUCUAACCUCUUGGCCUGCUAUUAUACACAGAAUCUUCUACACGAUAAUUUUGGUAACCAUGAUUCAUCUUACGACAAACAUUGCAUAAAGCAAGCAGAUUUGUAUUGUCAUAAUUAAAGCAAAUGAUUGGAUGGUUUAUCCAUACAAUCCUAACAGUUCUGCCACUGCUAGUACUGUACCUGACUUACAGAGGUUUCAGAAAGUCACUGUAGGGUGUAUUAACCCAUGGAAUAUUAAAACAGGCAUGACCCUGCUGUUUCUCAAGGCUGGAAGGACUUGAAAGCCAGCAGGACUUCUUUCCAGUGUGACUGAUUGGCUAGUGGAGGUGAGAAGGUCUCUCCCAGUCAUCCCAGCAUCAACCCACUUAAACUGGAGCCCCUUUUUCAGAAAGCCUGCAGUCCUGCUCUAAUUUCUCUUGGGUUUAGAGAAGAUACAUCUCCUUCUUUGUCUUUGCAGUGUUGCAUUCCAAAGCCACAGAUAUUUGCUCUUUGUCUAACAGACAACUACACCCUGAGAUGCCAGACCUUUCUUCUUCCCCAGCAAAGGUAUUUGUAAACAACUCUCUAUUCCUGCAUUCCAAAAAAAUUAAAUUACUCUGUCUCUUCCUAUGAGGUGUGUUUCCAGGGUCAGUCUUUCUGGUGGUUAUUUGCUGAGCUUCUUUAGAUGUUUCAGCUGCCUUUUCCAGGUCAAGGCAUAAGAGAAAGAUGGGAAUGGGGAACAGAGGGGAGUUAAUCCACCAAUUGAUUUAAAAUAGGUUAAACCCCCUCUUUACACUGGGGCAGAAGAGGGAUGAUGCAAAUGGACUGAGGAACAUAGCUGAUGUUCCAGGACACAGGAGCAAGGUGCUUCCACACCCACCACCCAGAGCUCCAGAUCUGCCAGCAUCAAAGAGCAUCCUUAACAUUUUUUGUUUCCUUUCAGCCACCACGCUAUCCAUCUACACCUGCCCAGCAAAGCCCACAUACUCUGCACUUGGCAGCCACAUGUGGAGCCCUCCCAAGCCCAGACAGAUUGGAGGAGUAGGUGGGAGGGUGUCGUCUGUAUGUCUUCUCUACAGCUGCCAUGCCUAAUACCAACAGCAGCAGCUGCCAGUACAAGGGAUGUGGAUGUGCCAUUUGUAACUUAACUUCCAUGAACAAUAGUGCAGCU